UACCCUCAAUCCCCGGAUUUGAACGAUCCCUAUUUACUGCGUACAAACAAUGAUAUCUUAUAGGGUUAAAUUAUAUGCUUACUUUUAGCGAAUCAGCACCAUGGCUUAGCUACGUAUGGGACUUGUGUGUUGUUUGUUUGUCAUCUUGGUAUUGACUCUUCAGUUGUCAAAACUGUUGCAGGUACAAGUUCAGGCAGGGACUUCGACAGCAAGUGCAGGCAAGAACUUUGACAGCAAAAGCCAUUUCAUCGCUGGGAUUUGGCGGACAAGUUGCUAGGAGUGCUUCCAAAAGAACAUCAAGGGUGAGUUUUCCUCUCCAGACACCAACUCUGAAGAUUUGUGUGGUUUGUCUUGCUUGGCCAAUUCUUUGUUCAGCUUGUUUGCAAGGCCAUAUGUCUUUAUCACGGUUAACAAAAUGCAGAAAGAAAGAGACUUUUCCAGGGACUGUUGUUGACUUUCAGAACAGAUGACAUUCCACCGAUUGGUCAUACACAUGUAUCGUAUACGAGAUUGCGAAAGCUCAAGGAUCUCUGUAGCUCCACGGUGACACAAAUAAAAGGAGACACUGCAAAAAAAAAAAAAAAAA